GAUGAAGAACGUAGCGAAAUGCGAUAAGUCGUGUGAAUUGCAGAAUUCAGUGAAUCAUCGAAUCUUUGAACGCACAUUGCGCCCCUUGGUAUUCCAUGGGGCAUGCCUGUUCGAGCGUCAUUUGUACCCUCAAGCUAUGCUUGGUGUUGGGUGUUUGUCCUCUCCUUUGCGAUUGGACUCGCCUUAAAGACAUUGGCAGCCAGUGUAUUGGUCUUGAAGCGCAGCACAUUUUGCGAUUCUUGCUGAUAAUCACUAGCGUCCAGUAAGCCUAUUUUAACACUUUUGACCUCGGAUCAGGUAGGGAUACCCGCUGAACUUAAGCAUAUCAAUAAGCGGAGGA
rnacentral:misc_RNA from 1 species